GGGGGUGUGGCUCAGUGGUAGAGAGCUUGCUAGGUAUGCUCAAGGCCCUGGGUUCCAUCCCCAGCACAGCCA
rnacentral:tRNA from 1 species